UUUAGCACAACUAUACAGCAUUAACAUUAUGUCUGGAAAUAAUUGGAAACAAAGAAAACAGUGUUCUGCCAUCAACUGCAACAACUACCAGUGUACAACCAAUCAACUAGCAUUUCAUAGAUUCCCCAAAGAUCCAGAGAGGUCUGCCAGAUGGGUGCAGAACCUGAGGAAUGCUAGCUUGACAGGGAUAAGCUCCCAGCGGCUCCAUCAGAACUACAGGGUGUGCAGUGCACACUUCCACCCCAGCCAGUUUAAAAGGCCAUCAGAUGUCCAUGCAGGAUUGAACUGGAAUGCAGUGCCCACUAUGGUUAAUGCCCCUAACCCACCGCCACCACUGGACAUAGAGCACAAGAGAAAACCACCAAAGACACGCCAGGAGUUGCCACCAAAGAA